rnacentral:rRNA from 1 species
GGCUCCUACGGGACGCAGCAGUGAGGAAUAUUGGUCAAUGGGCGGAAGCCUGAACCAGCCAAGUCGCGUGAGGGAAUAAGGCCCUACGGGUCGUAAACCUCUUUUGCCGGGGAGCAAGGGCGGGGACGUGUCCCGGCCCGGAGAGUACCCGGAGAAAAAGCAUCGGCUAACUCCGUGCCAGCAGCCGCGGUAAUACGGAGGAUGCGAGCGCUAUCCGGAUUCACUGGGUUUGAAGGGUGCGUAGGCGGGUAGGUAAGGCAGAGGCGAAAUCCUGGAGCUUAACUCCAGAACUCCCUUUGAUACUU